GGGCCGUUAGCUCAACCAGGCAGAGCACCUGACUCUUAAUCAGUAGGUUGUUGGUUCGAUUCCAACACGGCCCACCA
rnacentral:tRNA from 4 species